rnacentral:misc_RNA from 1 species
AUAUGCAAAGAUGAUGAACCCUAUGAGUGCUGCGAUGAUAAAGAACAUGACAAAGAGGUAUAGCCACAUCAAGAACGUGUUCCUAUAACACGCGCCGGCGAAACCAGCUAAAGAGAUGACCAUAAUAGAGACCCCAAUGACGAUCAGUGGCCACUGCAAGAAUUUUAAGCAGUCUGUGUUGUUGGCUCUGCUGCUUAGCCAUAUCCCACCACCCAGAAUUGGUAUUGAGAGCAAGAAAGUUAAGAAG